CAGUCGCCACGGGAAAACGGAGGGGGCUAGCGUUGUUCGGAAUUACUGGGCGUAAAGCGCACGUAGGUGGCUUGGUAAGUUAGAGGUGAAAGCCUGGAGCUCAACUCCAGAAUUGCCUUUAAGACUGCCGAGCUAGCAGGUGAGAGAGGUAAGUGGAAUUCCGAGUGUAGAGGUGAAAUUCGUAGAUAUUCGGAAGAACACCAGUGGCGAAGGCGGCCAUCUGGGACAACACUGACGCUGAGGCACGAAAGCGUGGGGAGCAAACAGGAUUAGAUACCCCAGUAGUCCCUGUCUCUUAUAA
rnacentral:rRNA from 1 species